rnacentral:rRNA from 1 species
UAGGGAAUUUUCCACAAUGGGCGAAAGCCUGAUGGAGCAACGCCGCGUGCAGGAUGAAGGCCUUCGGGUCGUAAACUGCUUUUCUCUGUGACGAUUAUGACGGUAGCAGAGGAAUAAGGAUCGGCUAACUCCGUGCCAGCAGCCGCGGUCAUACGGAGGAUCCAAGCGUUAUCCGGAAUUACUGGGCGUAAAGAGUUGCGUAGGUGGCAAGGUAAGUCCCGAUAAAAAGACAACGGCUCAACCGUCGGAUUUAUCAGGAUACUGCUUAGCUAGAGAACGGGAGAGGUAGAUGGAAUUCCCAGUGUAGGAGUGAAAUCCGUAGAUAUUGGGAGGAACACCGAUGGCGUAGGCAGUCUACUGGCCUGUUUCUGACACUAAGGCACGAAAGCGUGGGUAGCAAACGGGAUUAGAUACCCGGGUAGUCC